GAUGAACGCUGGCGGCGUGCUUAACACAUGCCAGUCGAACGGGAAACCUUUUAUUGAAGCUUCGGCAGAUUUCGCUGGUUUCUAGUGGCGGACGGGUGAGUAACGCGUGGGUAACCUGCCUUAUACAGGGGGAUAACAACCAGAAAUGGUUGCUAAUACCGCAUAAGCGCACAGGACCGCAUGGUCCGGUGUGAAAAACUCCGGUGGUAUAAGAUGGACCCGCGUUGGAUUAGCUAGUUGGCAGGGUAACGGCCUACCAAGGCGACGAUCCAUAGCCGGCCUGAGAGGGUGAGCGGCCACAUUGGGACUGAGACACGGCCCAGACUCCUACGGGAGGCAGCAGUGGGGAAUAUUGCACAAUGGGGGAAAGCCUGAUGCAGCGACGCCGCGUGAAGGAAGAAGUAUCUCGGGAUGUAAACUUCUAUCAGCAGGGAAGAUAGUGACGGUACCUGAAGAAGAAGCCCCGGCUAACUACGUG
rnacentral:rRNA from 1 species